rnacentral:rRNA from 1 species
GGUUAAGCGACUAAGCGUACACGGUGGAUGCCCUGGCAGUCAGAGGCGAUGAAGGACGUGCUAAUCUGCGAUAAGCGCCGGUAAGGUGAUAUGAACCGUUAUAACCGGCGAUUUCCGAAUGGGGAAACCCAGUGUGACUCGUCACACUAUCAUUAACUGAAUCCAUAGGUUAAUGAGGCGAACCGGGGGAACUGAAACAUCUAAGUACCCCGAGGAAAAGAAAUCAACCGAGAUUCCCCCAGUAGCGGCGAGCGAACGGGGAGGAGCCCAGAGCCUGAAUCAGCAUGUGUGUUAGUGGAAGCGUCUGGAAAGGCGCGCGAUACAGGGUGACAGCCCCGUACACAAAAGCGCAUGUGCUGUGAGCUCGAUGAGUAGGGCGGGACACGUGGUAUCCUGUCUGAAUAUGGGGGGACCAUCCUCCAAGGCUAAAUACUCCUGACUGACCGAUAGUGAACCAGUACCGUGAGGGAAAGGCGAAAAGAACCCCGGCGAGGGGAGUGAAAAAGAACCUGAAACCGUGUACGUACAAGCAGUGGGAGCACCCUUUGGGGUGUGACUGCGUACCUUUUGUAUAAUGGGUCAGCGACUUAUAUUCUGUAGCAAGGUUAACCGAAUAGGGGAGCCGGAGGGAAACCGAGUCUUAAC